AAGGUCUCCGUAGGUGAACCUGCGGAGGGAUCAUUACAAGUGACCCCGGUUUACCACCGGGAUGUUCAUAACCCUUUGUUGUCCGACUCUGUUGCCUCCGGGGCGACCCUGCCUUCGGGCGGGGGCUCCGGGUGGACACUUCAAACUCUUGCGUAACUUUGCAGUCUGAGUAAACUUAAUUAAUAAAUUAAAACUUUUAACAACGGAUCUCUUGGUUCUGGCAUCGAUGAAGAACGCAGCGAAAUGCGAUAAGUAAUGUGAAUUGCAGAAUUCAGUGAAUCAUCGAAUCUUUGAACGCACAUUGCGCCCCCUGGUAUUCCGGGGGGCAUGCCUGUUCGAGCGUCAUUUCACCACUCAAGCCUCGCUUGGUAUUGGGCAACGCGGUCCGCCGCGUGCCUCAAAUCGACCGGCUGGGUCUUCUGUCCCCUAAGCGUUGUGGAAACUAUUCGCUAAAGGGUGCUCGGGAGGCUACGUCCGUAAAACAACCCCAUUUCUAAGGUUGACCUCGGA
rnacentral:rRNA from 1 species